rnacentral:lncRNA from 1 species
CUAAUUUUAAAAUUCUAUAUUCUUAACACUUUUGCCAUUGGCCCACACAACUUUGCUUUUCACCAGUGUCUAAAGUGGCUGAAACAUCAGCAUCGGGUGGUGGCAAUGCCUUGAGGGAUAUCUUAUCAUAUGCAGCAUGGCAUCUCUGGGCUUCGUGGAACCAGACAUAGUGAUCAAACAUGGAGCAUAUUUCUACUGCAGAUAACUAGAAACUGGAUCAUGGCGAUAAAGCUAAUCCAACUGGAUGGAUCCUAGCUCUGUGACAUGGCUGACUUCCAGAAGCACAGGCUUUUUUGCUCUCGAAUAUCAGGAUGAUACCUGGAGUUCUGAGUCUGAUGACCUGGAAGAUUUGGGGUAAUUCCGUUUAGUAGACACAGCUAUGGACUCACACAAAAUUCAUUCAUUUUUGAGUCUACUUUAUUUACAGUUAUUUAUCCUUUCUUGAAAACUUUUAGCAUCGCCUUGAUUAAAAUAAGUUCAUAAAAUAAUCUUCACUGUAUUUGUUACAUAUGGCACAGAAUAAUUUAGCACUUUAUAAAUAUGUCUCAUUGAUGCACAAAUGGGAGGAGCACCCUUUGCUGAAAGCAGUACAGUGACUUAGUUCAAUUUGGCUACGGUAGCACUUUAAAAAAUUACCAUGAGAUGGCGCUGUGGCCAAGUAAAUGCAGUAUGCUUUAAACAGUUUUCCCUAAUUAUGGCAGUUAAUUGCUUUUUUUUGAAUAUAGAGGAAUCUAUCAUUCAACUUAAAGUAGAGCAAGGUUUGUUACUCCGUUUUAAUAGUAUUCAUUAAAAGUGAAUCCUUUAAUCACAGAUCCAUAAAUCAUUUGACAACUGUGUUUCACUUAGGUGUGAGUCUGUUUAAAAAGCCAUAGUAGUCAGAAAAUUGCCAGACUAAACAAAGGGCCCAAAGGUACCAUUUUAUUUAGGAUCAAGAAACUAUAUAUGUGGACCAUUGUUUUCGCCAUCCUCAUAGACUUGUCUUAAAGUUCUUCCACAAAAUUAGAUUAAUUUCCAGUUUAUUUAAAGAGCUGAUAUUUUUGUUACACUUUAAUCUGCUUUGCAGCAAUGGAAGGUCAUAGAAAUAUUAGAACAUGAAUUCACAUUUAAAUAAACAUGAUACAAACAUGCACACAUGUGUAUAUACUGAGUGUUUUCAUUGACUUGCUUUUCGUCCAUAUAAAUAUAUAAAUAUUGAAUAAAGUGCAUGAGAACAUGUCUGUACAUAUAUACAGCUACACAUUUGCCUAUACAGUAUACACUUGAAUAGAUACUUAUGGAAGAAAAAAACACAUACACAUUUGUAAUAUAUAGGUAGUCAAAAGACAUCUAUCAGGCAACAUUAAUGUACAUUCUGAUCAAGAUUGAGUAUAUGGGGGUAGAAUCUGUAAUCUUUUCCCUAAUAUAUAAUGAAAUGUGCAGAGUUACAAGUGAAGGCAAAAUACAUUAGAGUGGAGACAUUUUAACAUUUAUAUUUUCAUCAGUUAGUAUGGUAUAUCAUAAGGAGUAGUUCAGUUCAAAUGCAGCCUUGGUACUAGCAGCAUAUUAUACAUUCUAUCUUUGAAACAGUGAACCAUCUUUCAACAUAUCUAUGAGGACAUAAUGAGAAUUUUAUGCAUUUCCAAAUUACACAAUGACACUUCCCACAUUCUUUAGUUUUCAAAUCUGUAUUUUUUUCCCAAAGGUUUAGGGCAAACACUAUUUCUCAUUCAAUAGAAAUGCUUCAGCAUUGUAAUCAUAUAUAUAACAUUGAUUCUAAUAACAACAUGCAAUUUAACCUUGAGUGUUAUAAUAUCAAGGUGGAUUAACUGUUGUUAAUCUCUUUUUCUCUUUAGUAACCAUUUCAAUGAAAUAUUAUAAUAUCUGCUUUUCUAUUAGGGAGCCCAGUGUCAAUGAGUAAUACUGAAAUGAGUGAGUUUUUGGAGAAAUAGAAGAAAAAUUUUGCUCAAAACUAUGGUAGUUAUAAACUGGCUUGAGAUUGAGGUGCGUAUUUCUAAAUUAAUUGCAAUGUUAAGCCUCAAGUGAUAUUUUCCCCCUCCUUUAUUUGUUUGGUGUUUAUUGGUAACCAAUCAGGAAAACUUAUUUUUAAAACUACUCUCACAGUUGAAACAAACUUGUUUCUGAACCAGGUAAGAAGGAAAUAAGUUGAAAUGAUUCUAAAAAUAAGUCUGUAUAUAUUUUUUGACUAAGACCAUUUCAGUUUAGUCAUUUUCUUUUUUUCUUUCUUUUUUUUUGUGAUAGGGUCUCACUCUGUUGCCCAGGAGGAAAUGGCAGUGGUGUGAACUUGGCUCACUGCAGCCUUGAG